rnacentral:rRNA from 1 species
UGGGGAAUAUUGCGCAAUGGGCGAAAGCCUGACGCAGCGACGCCGCGUGGGUGAUGAAGGCCUUCGGGUCGUAAAGCCCUGUCGGGAGGGACGAAACCUCGGUGACCUAAUACGUCACCGACCUGACGGUACCGUAAGAAGAAGCACCGGCUAACUACGUGCCAGCAGCCGCGGUAAUACGUAGGGUGCGAGCGUUAAUCGGAAUUACUGGGCGUAAAGCGUGCGCAGGCGGUUUCGUAAGACAGAUGUGAAAUCCCCGGGCUUAACCUGGGAACUGCGUUUGUGACUGCAAGGCUGGAGUACGGCAGAGGGGGGUGGAAUUCCACGUGUAGCAGUGAAAUGCGUAGAGAUGUGGAGGAACACCGAUGGCGAAGGCAGCCCCCUGGGCCUGUACUGACGCUCAUGCACGAAAGCGUGGGGAGCAAACA